GACGAACGCUGGCGGCGUGCCUAAUACAUGCAAGUCGAACGCUUCUUUCCUCCCUAGUGCUUUCACUCAAUUGGAAAGUGGAGUGGCGUACGGAUGAGUACCACGUGGGUAACCUACCCAUCAAAGGGGGAUAACACUUGGGAACAGGUGCUAAUACCGCAUAACAUUUUAUGCCGCAUGGCAUAAGAGUGAAGGGCGCUUUCGCGUGCCGCUGAUUGAUUGACGCGCGGGGCAUUAGCUAGUGGGUGAGGUAAAGGCUCACGAAGGCGACGAUGCAUAACAGAAAGGAGAGGGUGAUCGGAGACAGUGGGACUGAGACACGGCCCAGACGAAUACGGGAGGCAGCAGUAGGGAAACGGCGGCAAGGGACGAAAGUCUGACGGAGAAAGGCGGAGUGAGUGAAGAAGGUUUUCGGAUCGUAAAACUCGGUUGUUAGAGAAGAACAAGGACGUUAGUAACAGAACGUCAACUGACGGUAUCUAACGAGAAAGCCACGGCUAGCUACGUG
rnacentral:rRNA from 1 species